rnacentral:lncRNA from 1 species
GAUUGCAGAGUUCAUUAACCACAGUAUUUGAACUUUCUAUCUAUCUUUAACCUGUUAGAGCCCAUCACAUAAUUUAUAUACACUAUGGGACACCAUCUAUAAUUUUCACUUUUGUUAAAAACUUUUGCUUGAAAUAAGCUGAUUUCCUGUUAAAAAUGCUCGUAUUGCGUCAAGGUAUUAUUGAAUAAUGACAUUACAAGAUCAAAAUAAAAUUUCAACUCCACUCUGCACUUCCAAAAUUAUAACAUGGAAAAUGGCCCAAACUUUAAAUAUUUUUAUUUCCAGGUUCGUUUUAUCCUUUUCAAGAAAUUCCAAGUUUAUCGCACGACUUUUCAAUCGAUCACAGCGGCUUUGGAAUACAAGGAUCUUAUCCCAUUUAUCCAUUGGAAAUCCUAGAAAAUGUGGAGCAUUCUCCCAUUAUUAGUAUCGGAGAUCAUAUUCCAGGGAUAUCUGAUUUUGAGAGCAUUACCGGAGGAGUAGAAAUUCUUAAUCUAGACCCAAUAAAUGUUGAACAGCAGAAUGACCAAAUUGUUGAAGACGAAAACGAUUCGAUUGCUGUGGAGGCAUUGGAGAAAACAAACAAGAAAAAACAAUCAACUAAAAUUCCAGAAACUCUAACCGAAGAACCCAAUAAUAAACAAAACUAAAGCAACACAUUGUUCAAAAGAAACUUGAAUUGUCAAAAGCCUUACUGUUUGGAUACUAAUAAUAGACAUAGGAACACAUACAAUUAUUAAUGUAAAUGUAUCAGCUUAAAUGACCUACGAAUUGAAAUAAAUAUUUAGAAUUAUA